rnacentral:rRNA from 1 species
UGGGGAAUUUUGCACAAUGGAGGAAACUCUGAUGCAGCGACGCCGCGUGAGUGAUGAAGAUCUUCGGAUUGUAAAACUCUGUCCUUAGUGAAGAUAAUGACAGUAACUAAGAAGCAAGCCCUGGCUAAAUACGUGCCAGCAGCCGCGGUAAUACGUAUGGGGCAAGCGUUGUCCGGAAUUAUUGGGCGUAAAGGGUACGUAGGCGGUUUAAUAAGUCCUAAUUAAAAGGCUAUGGCUCAACCAUAGUAUGGUUAGGAAACUGUUGAACUUGAGUAGAUGAGGGGAAAGUGGAAUUCCAUGUGUAGCAGUGAAAUGCGUAGAUAUAUGGAGGAACACCAAUGGCGAAGGCAACUUUCUGGAAUCAAACUGACGCUGAGGUACGAAGGCGUGGGGAGCAAACAGG